rnacentral:rRNA from 1 species
UACGUAGGGUGCAAGCGUUGUCCGGAAUUAUUGGGCGUAAAGAGCUCGUAGGCGGUCUGUUGCGUCGGCUGUGAAAACCCGAGGCUCAACCUCGGGCCUGCAGCCGAUACGGGCAGACUAGAGUUCGGCAGGGGAGACUGGAAUUCCUGGUGUAGCGGUGAAAUGCGCAGAUAUCAGGAGGAACACCGGUGGCGAAGGCGGUUCUCUGGGCAGUGUCCUGACGCUGGAGGAGCGAAAGU